GUAGCAGGAAAUAACAUAUCUAAUUUGAAAAAAUUUUGUCAAAGGGUUUACAUGUUAUUGAACGGACACUGUUUGGCAGCCGCCCGCCCGCCGUACAUCCCGAAAUCAAUAUCCGAUAUUUCUUCGAAAAUCCGGUUAAUUCAACAAUAUCAAAGCAAUGCAAAUAAACUGCUUCGCUGAGCACAGUUGGAUAAGCCCACAGAGGUCCAACCCUAAACAGUUGGGGCAAAAAUGGACACAAUAUUCAAGCUUGAUACAGGUCUGAAUUUGGAUUGUAAUUAAAUAUUUGACAUAUCAUAGGUUUCUGAAUAAAUGUAGUCAAAGAACUUGAAAUUGGUUAUAUGAAUUGAAUUUAUAUUCAAUUAAAGAUUUCUUGCUCUUGUGCAAUACUUAGUAAAUCUGUUGUCAGACUAUAAACAAAUAAAGGUCAAUUAAUUCUCAAUAUCAUAUUAGAAAUUUAUGAAAAAAAAAAGGGAGCUUACAUCAAUAGAUAUAAACAAUUCACUAAAGUUUCAUGAGAAUUGGUGACAGCAUUUUUGAGUUAUUGUCCGAAAACUGGAAAAUCACACCUUUUUUUAAAUGAAUAAAACCCCAUAACUCAGAAAUGCAAAAUGUAAAAUUUAUAAAAUUCUUAAGGGAGCUUACAUCAAUACAUACAAACAAAUCACCAAAGUUUCAAAAGAAUUGCUGAAAGCAUUUUUGAGUUUUUGUCCGAAAACUGGAAAAUCCCCCCUUUUUUUAUGAAUAAAACCCUGUAACUCGGAAACGUAAAAUCUAAAAU